UACGGGGGGGGCAAGCGUUGUUCGGAAUUACUGGGCGUAAAGGGCUCGUAGGCGGCCAACUAAGUCAGACGUGAAAUCCCUCGGCUUAACCGGGGAAUGGCGUCUGAUACUGGAUGGCUCGAGUUUGGGAGAGGGAUGCGGAAUUCCAGGUGUAGCGGUGAAAUUCGUAGAUAUUCGCAAGAACACCAGUGGCGAAGGCGGCUCACUGGCCCGAUACUGACGCUGAGGUGCGAAAGCGUGGGGAGCAAACAGG
rnacentral:rRNA from 1 species